UAGUUUCCUUAACCGAUAAGCAUUGUUCCCAAUUUCUUUUAUUUUCACCGAAACGCACACUUCUCCUGCUCUCCUUCUUGUUCAUGCAAACACACCCAGUCGCUGGCACACAACCAAAAGUCAAGUCACAGAAAUUUUUAGUGAAACCGAUAUAGAGUGCGGCGCAAAUGAUGAUUCAAUCAAAAAAAUACUCCUCCGGGAUAUCUAGCCACCAGUCAACUGAUAUUGUGGCAAAAAUGCAACAGAUCCAUUUAUGCAAGGCAGAUAAGGUGAAACCGAAAGUGCAACACUCAUUCCAGAACAAUUCUAAGAUGAAAGUAGAAUCAGUCGAGAUCACGAGUCGUAUUAAGGUGCAAAUGGCAAGUACUAAUUUCGAGCAAUCGGUCAAAAUCAGAAACGUGAAAACGGAGAGGAUUCAGCACUCAAAUUCUUCGGGCCACAACAGCAGGAACGUUGGCUACCAACUAAUGCUUCCACCGAAGGAGCCCAGUAAGGGGCAAGGUCAAAUUAUUGCAAGACCAGUAAAGAAGAGUAGUAACCACCACUCAGGAUCUUGCCACACAACCAGGACCAGUACUAAGAGUAGUACUAGGAAAGAGCAUACAAGGACUGAAACCCGAAAGCAAUAUUAUAGCAAGCCAUAAGCAGCAAAGCCACACAUGAUCGGUGAUCUAGCUGUUUGGAAAAAUAAGUGACAGUACGUUCGGUAUUGCUCUAAUUAGUAUUCUAUAUAUUGUGAUCGAUCAGUGUGUGUUUUUUAUUUCAGCUGUACGUACGGUACUGUUGUAUUUGAUCUGUGUGAUGAUGCCUUUUAAUAGUACAAUAUACUUAUAAUUGUUGUGUAUUUUUAUUUCCACCGGUCUUGAAUCUGUAAUCCUGCAUAUAUAAGGAAUCCGAUGGAGUUAAAUAAAGACUUGGUUACCUCGGAUCAUCCUAGAUAUAUGAGUAUUAGGAUUGGAUUGGCUA